rnacentral:rRNA from 1 species
UACGAAGGGUGCAAGCGUUACUCGGAAUUACUGGGCGUAAAGGGUGCGUAGGUGGUUGUUUAAGUCUGCUGUGAAAGCCCCGGGCUCAACCUGGGAAUGGCAUCCGAUACUGGCGGGCUAGAGUUCGAUAGAGGGUCGUGGAAUUCCCGGUGUAGCGGUGAAAUGCGUAGAGAUCGGGAGGAACAUCAGUGGCGAAGGCGGCGACCUGGAUCAGAACUGACACUGAGGCACGAAAGCGUGGGGAGCAAACAGG